rnacentral:rRNA from 1 species
AGAACGAACGCGUGCGGCCCUUUAUAUUUAUCAAGCUGAGCGCCAUCCCUCGGUGAUGAGACGGCGGGACGGUGUGAGUAACAGCGUGGGAUCUUCUCUACGGAAUAGCCACUGGAAACGGUGAGUAAUACCGUAUACGCCCUCAGUGGGAAAGAUUUAUCUGGAGAAGGAUCAGCCCGCGUUAGAUUAGGUAGUUGGUGGGGUAACGGCCUACCAAGCCUACGAUCUAUAGCUGGUUUUAGAGGAUGAUCAGCCACACUGGGACUGAGACACGCCCAGACUCCUCGGGAGGCAGCAGAGGGAAUCUGGACAUGGGGGCAACCUGAUCCGACAUGCGGAUGAGUGAAAAAGCCUAAGGUCAUACAGUACUUCGACUGUGAUGAUAAUGACCCUAGCACGUACAAAAACCCCGGCUAACUCCUAUACCACAGACAGCGUAAUCAAAAGGGGAUAGACGUGUACGACAUUACUGGGGUAAAGGAGCGUA